rnacentral:rRNA from 1 species
CACGUAGGGCGCAAGCGUUGUCCGGAAUUAUUGGGCGUAAAGAGCUCGUAGGCGGUCCGUCACGUCCGCUGUGAAAACCCAGGGCUCAACCCUGGGCUUGCAGUGGAUACGGGCAGACUAGAGGUAGGUAGGGGAGACUGGAAUUCCUGGUGUAGCGGUGAAAUGCGCAGAUAUCAGGAGGAACACCGAUGGCGAAGGCAGGUCUCUGGGCCAUAACUGACGCUGAGAAGCGAAAGCAUGGGGAGCGAACAGG